UAAUGUUGCUGUAUGGUUUUGUUCUUUGCAUCAUAAGCCCACUAUACAUGUCAAACAUUUAGUUAAAAGUGUUAUGGCUGUGUAUAAUGUCAUGAGUGGUAUAUCUACUGCACUGUCAAAGAACUUAGAAUGGAUUUACCCCAUGAGUUAUAAACAACAAGGACAUUAUGAAUGUGGAUACUAUGUCAUGAAUUGGAUGUCAGAAAUAAUUGAAG